UACGAAGGGGGCUAGCGUUGUUCGGAUUUACUGGGCGUAAAGCGCACGUAGGCGGAUUGUUAAGUCGGGGGUGAAAUCCUGGAGCUCAACUCCAGAACUGCCUUCGAUACUGGCAAUCUCGAGUCCGGAAGAGGUAAGUGGAACUCCUAGUGUAGAGGUGGAAUUCGUAGAUAUUAGGAAGAACACCAGUGGCGAAGGCGGCUUACUGGUCCGGUACUGACGCUGAGGUGCGAAAGCGUGGGGAGCAAACAGG
rnacentral:rRNA from 1 species